rnacentral:misc_RNA from 1 species
GAAAUGCGAUAAGUAGUGUGAAUUGCAGAAUUCAGUGAAUCAUCGAAUCUUUGAACGCACAUUGCGCCCUUUGGCAUUCCGAAGGGCAUACCUGUUCGAGCGUCAGUUGCACAACUCAAGCACAGCUUGGUGUUGGGUGCCUGUCCCGCCUCCGCGCGCGGACUCACCUCAAAUCCAUUGGCGGCCCCCGCGUCGGCCACGAGCGCAGCAGAAACGCGAACUCGUGAGCCCGUCCGGGCGGCUCCCAGAAGCUACACCCACCCAGUUUGACCUCGGAUCAGGUAGGGAUACCCGCUGAACUUAAGC